GGAAGUUUGUGCACUCUUAUCACAGGAUUGACUUGGAAAGCUAUAAUAUUAACGAACAAACAACAAAUGAAAAACCUUUCACAAAAUCCAACUGCAAUCUUCAAAUACCUCCUGCAACUACCUACUGAAUUUCAGUCUGGCUGCAUACUGCUGAAGGAGACAUUUCCUUUUAUUUCUUGGAAAAGCACUGCUUUUGCAUUUCUCUUUUUUUUGCACAGCUGGGGACAGCAGAUGGAUGAGUUGUGAGUUUCUGUGGUUUUCCUGAGAACUCUCAAUAUUUCAGUCAGAUAAAUGUGGAAACCAAUGAGAAGCUAUCUGCCUUCUUUCAAGAACUGUGAACAUAAAGAUGACAUUCCAUGCUGCACAAACAACAAGGAAAUAUUAUUAAAAUGAUUCCUCAGAAAAUGUGCGUUGUCACCUGGAGCAUAAGAAAUGUCAGGCUAUACAGCCUUAAAACAAUGGAAAACUGCCUAUAAGGGGAACCUGUCCUCCUAAAGGCUCUACAAGCCAUUUUGAUUAUGGAGGUCCUGACCUGGGAAGCUCAACCUGGAUAACCACAGCCAGAGGGGGAUAAAAUGCAACACCUAGGAGAUUUCAGUAAACAGUAAAACCAUUCCAACUUAAUCUGUGCUAAAAUGCUUGGAAUGUGAGAGCCACCGAUGAUGCCCCUUGUCUGUGUGUCUGACUGAAUCCUUUUUUUUCUGGGAGGAAAGCAGAGCCUGGGAACUAGGCCAAAUGCCUGCCACUUACCUUAAAUUGAUCAGCCACUUUAAGAUUAAAAACACUGAAAACUGCAACACCAUGAAAACAAGGCUUCCUUCACAUUAAAUGCAAAAUGCAACAUUGGGCUUGCUGUGAUCUCUUUUUCCAUUUUGCUCAGUGUGCAGUUUUUCCAUUUCUGCUCAAAGGUAGAAGCCAACAGCAUCUUGGCCAAGUAUUCAUUGAGGUUUAUAUAAAAAGAAAUUUAUGGUUAUUUAGGAGCUGGCACAAAAGCAUGUUGUUGCUGGAGAAAAAAUAUAGUUUUGAAACAGUUUGAAACACUGGAUGUCUUAUUUGAAUUAAAAGCUAUAUUCUAUCUAUCUUUGCCUGUUGUAUCUAAAGAAGUAUUGAAGUAUGUGAUUGGGAUAAUCGGCAGGUAAAUUUCUCAGUGGUUUUAUGUACUGUAAAUAUUUAGUCAAUUCAAGAAUUUGUUCUGGAAGAAUUAUUUCAUUGCUGCAAUAAAGAUAAGUGUAGAGAUAAAACAAUGGAACAAAGUCAUCAGUCAUGGAAGCAGGUGCAUCUACAUAAGAUUAGUUUUUUUUUCCUGUGUAUGUCUUUCUGGAAGAACUGAUUAAAAGAACAGUACCAAAUGCUUAUUUGGCAGAAAAAAUUAAGGUUGGAUUCAU